rnacentral:lncRNA from 1 species
AGAUGUGAGUGGCGUUGGCCACCAGGAAGGGCGCGUGCUCACGGAGGCAGGAGGCCACGCCAAUGUGGUAGACCCCGAGGAAGCCGCAGCCAGCGAAUGAGAUGUUCCACUUGGUCUCCCUCGGGAACAUCGUGACUCGAUGUCCUGCGGGCAGUGGGUCCCGCAGUCUCGAUACCUUGGGGUCUCCGCCGGCGGAGGCGGAGACGCUGUGCCGGGAGGCAGAGGAGGAGGUGUUUUAGUGCGGGGUGAGGGCGGGGCCUGGUCGGCAGGGGGCAGGACCUGGGCGCGCGAUCCAACUGGAUCAAGCAGGGAACGGCCGCGCCCCCGAGGCCCCGCCCCUUCGUGACACCUGCUGGGCAAAGCCAUCUGAGAGACCUGGAGAGGGGAUUCCCAGGCUUCAGCUUCUCUCUCUCCCCACAGCUUCUUCAAUCCCACAGCUUCUUCAAUCCCACAGCUUCUUCAAUCCCACAGCUUGGGCAGCCCCUGGACUCAGGGAGAGCCGAGCACAUGGAGAAGUGCAAGUUUUGUACAGAUCUGGGUACCAGGAGUUUGUGAACAGGUGUCUCCUCCUUCUCCAGGGAUACCCACCAGGACACAGAUGAACUGGACAGAACCUGGGCGAAGUCGCAGAUAGUACCCCCUAUGGGCCUGAAAACCUGGGCCACUCAGGCUAAAGCCCCCAAAACCAACAGGCCAAACAGACUGACACUGGCCCAGCAAAUACUGUCACAGACUCAAGUCCUGCUCUUACCAUCAUAGGGGCCCUCGAUACCCUAGCUGCUCACUUGGGUUUUAGCUGCCUGAUCCUGUGGCUCCUCCGAUUGUGGGGUCUACUUGGUCUCAGAACAAAAGCCUCAACCCAACUGAUUGUUCCAGGAAGUGGUGUGCGCCUGGGUAAUGUUACCCUCUCACCCUUUUCCCCGGACUAGAAUUCCCUUAGCUGAGGGACAGGCUAAAACCUAGCCCUCGUUUUACCCCACCCCAAACAAGGUUGGGUUUAUGGGUGACAGUGUCUUUUUGCCCAGAAAUUCUCACUCCCAGCUUAGCUCUAGACCUAUCACAACAGAAGUACAACUGUAUUGUCAACAAUUCAACCUG